UACGAAGGGGGCUAGCGUUGUUCGGAAUUACUGGGCGUAAAGGGCGCGUAGGCGGCCGUUUAAGUUAGGUGUGAAAGUCCUGGGCUCAACCUGGGGACUGCACUUAAUACUGGAUGGCUUGAAUUCGGGAGAGGAUAGCGGAAUUCCCAGUGUAGAGGUGAAAUUCGUAGAUAUUGGGAAGAACACCGAAGGCGAAGGCAGCCUGCUGGAGCUGUCCUGACGGUCAGGGACGAAAGCUGGGGGAGCAAACCGGA
rnacentral:rRNA from 1 species